GAUCAUGGCUCAGGAUGAAUGCUGGCGGCAUGCCUAAUACAUGCAAGUCGAGCGGUAACAGGACUAGCUUGCUAGUGCUGACGAGCGGCGGACGGCUGAGUAACGCAUGGGAACGCACCCCAAACUGAGGGAUAACUAGUCGAAAGAUUAGCUAAUACCGCAUGUGAUCUUCGGAUUAAAGCCUUCGGGCGGUUUGGGAGCGGCCUGUGUACGAUUAGAUAGUUGGUGAGGUAAUGGCUCACCAAGUCGACGAUCGUUAGAUGGUUUGAGAGGAUGAUCAUCCAGACUGGAACUGAGACACGGUCCAGACUCCUACGGGAGGCAGCAGUAGGGAAUCUUUCACAAUGGGCGAAAGCCUGAUGGAGCAAUGCCGCGUGCAGGACGAAGGCCUUCGGGUUGUAAACUGCUUUUAUAAGCGAGGAAUAUGACGGUAACUUAUGAAUAAGGAUCGGCUAACUACGUGCCAGCAGCGGC
rnacentral:rRNA from 1 species